rnacentral:misc_RNA from 1 species
GAUGAAGAACGCAGCGAAAUGCGAUAAGUAAUGUGAAUUGCAGAAUUCCGUGAAUCAUCGAAUCUUUGAACGCACAUUGCGCCCCCUGGUAUUCCGGGGGGCAUGCCUGUCCGAGCGUCAUUGCAACCUUCAAGCGCGGCUUGUGUGUUGGGUCUCGUCCCCCGUAGACGGGCCCGAAAGGCAGUGGCGGCGUCCCGACAUGGUGCCCGAGCGUAUGGGAAUCCUCUUCCGCUCGAAUCGGCCCAUGCGGCGCUGGUCGUAACCAAAUUUUUUACCGGUUGACCUCGGAUCAGGUAGGGAUACCCGCUGAACUUAAGCAUAUCAAUAAGCGGAGGA